rnacentral:misc_RNA from 1 species
UCUCCGUUGGUGGACCAGCGGAGGGAUCAUUACAGAGUUUUCACAACUCCCAACCCAUGCGAACCGUACCCAUUCUGUUCUCGUUGCUUCCGGCGGGGGGGACGGGGGGGCCCGAAACGGCCUCCCCGCCCCGCCCGCCGGGGGCGGCGGGCCCUACGAACCUUUAUAUCUCAACCACCAGAAACCGUCUGAGAAAACAAACAAAAUAAUCAAAACUUUCAACAACGGAUCUCUUGGCUCUG